GCAGAAGUGCAAGUUACCUUUGCCAAGGGCACUGACACAACCCCAGACCAUGACAGACCCUGGCUUUUGGACUUGUUGCUGGUAACAGUCUGGAUGAUCCUUUUCUUCUUUGGUCCGGAGCACACGGCGUCCACUUCUCCCAAAAAAUACCUGAAAUACUGAUUCGUCUGACCACAGUACACGUUUCCACUGUGUGAUGGUCCAUCCCAGAUGCCUCCGAGCCCAGAGAAGUCGACGGCGCUUCUGGACACUGUUAACAUAGGGCUUCCUUUUGGCACAGUACAGUUUUAACUGGCAUUUGUGGAUGUAACUACGUAUUGUGGGAUCGGAGAUCACGGUUGUUCAGCUUAGGCUUGCGCCCUUGUCCUUUACGCACUGAAAUUCCUCCACAUUCCUUGAAUCUUUUAAUUAUGUUAUACACUGUUGAAGGUGAAAUAAGCAAUUGUCUUCCUAUCUUUCUUUGAGGAACAUUGUUUUUAAACAUUUCAAUAAUUUUCUCACGUAUUUGUAGGCAAACUGGCGAUCCUCGGCCCAUCUUUGCUCCUAAAGGACUAGACCUUUCUUGGAUGCUGCUUUUGUACCAAAUCAUAAUUACAAUCACCUGUUGACAUCACCUGUUUCAAAUCACAUCAUUAUUUAACCAAUUUACCUGAUUACUAGCCCUAAAUUGCUCCUGUCCCAACCUUUUUUGGGAUGUGUUGCAGGUCUGAAUGACAGGAAAGGAUGUAUAUUUACAAAUGAAAUUAAGUUGACCAGACAAAACAUGAAAUAUUUUGUGUUGACAUUGUCUGCAAUGAAAUACAAGUCAAAGUACAUUUAGAAAUCACUACUUUCUUUUUUUAUUUGUGUUUUCCAUACUGUCCCAACUUUUCUGAUUUGGGGUUGUACAUGUU